rnacentral:rRNA from 1 species
CCCUUAGAUGUUCUGGGCCGCACACGCGCUACACUGAAGGAGGCAGCGUGUACUCCUGGAUCGAAAGAUUUGGGUAACCCGCGAAUCUCCUUCGUGCUAGGGAUUGAGGUUUGCAAUUAUCCUUCAUGAACGAGGAAUUCCCAGUAAGUGCAAGUCAUAAGCUUGCGCUGACUACGUCCCUGCCCUUUGUACACACCGCCCGUCGCUACUACCGAUUGAAUGAUUUAGUGAGGACUUCGGACUGGGACCGACGCGGCUUUCGGGCUGCGUCGGUAUUCUGGAAAGAUGUCCAAACUGUAUCAUUUAGAGGAAGUAAAAGUCGUAACA